ensembl:lncRNA
UGUGAUUGUGUUCCACUCAAGCGGAAUUUGCCUCAGCAGGCUGUCUGAUUAUAUCUGAUUAUUGACAUGAUUAGACAUUCCUGCUUAAUUUGAUGCACUGUUAAUUUUUGAUAGUCGUUUGGACCUCCUUGGUCACUCCAGCCAGGUAAGACUUCUAUUACACUGAUGGUUUCUGUGCUGCUUUGCUGUGGAGGUUGUAUCAUAUUAAUAUUUAAUUCUGAUCAUAUAACAGAUUUGACUUGCAGGUGAGACAGGAAGGACAACAACUAGAGACGAGUGCUGUAUAUAUUUUCACCAGAUGCGUAUGUAGAUUUAAAAAAAAAAAAAAAAAAAAAAAAAAAAAAAAAGCAUGGGAGUUAAAGUGUGUGCAAGAACUCGAGAGGACCAGAGGCAGUGUUGCCAGGUGUGUUAGAAAUCUCUGGAUGACGUCAUGGAUUCAUUUGCAUCAUCAAGAUCAUUUGUAUGUCCAAACUUGUUACAUGAAGGGGGGGGGGGGGGGGGGACAAUAGAAAUUCUUGCAGAAUUUGUAAUGGUUAUAAUGGGAAUUGUAUUGGUUAUAAUGGAAACUGUAAUGGUCGCUGUGGGUCCCUACUGGUAAAUUGGGUUCUAUGUGGCAUGUUAUGUAUAGUGGCUACUAUCGAGGACUGGUAAUGGUUUGUAAUUGUAUUUGCAGUGGAAACCAUUAGAAUUUCCAAGAUGGUCUUCUGUUGUUUUGGGUUUGUUUUCAGCAGGGAAUAAAACAAGACUUUUGUCAGAAUAAAAAAUAUAUAAAAAUAUAUAUAUAAAUAUAUAAAGAAAUGUGUAUUUGGUCAUCUCACCACAGUAGUUAUUUGCAUAUUUAUCAAGGUUUAUCAAGGAGAUAAAAUGAAGCAAUGGGCAUGAGUAGUUGAGAAAUAGACACAAAGGACAUGGAUGGAAUGACUCGCUUAUAUUGCUUGUAAGUAUCACCAAGAAGAGAGUUUAAAAUGAAAAAGUAAGAAGUGUGCAGGUGGGAUGAUAAUGGUGAUCUGUGGUUGGUCAGUGGGAAAUAUGGUGAUCGGUGGUUGGUCGUUUGGAACAAUGGUGCUCAGUGAUUGGUGGUUGGGAACAAUGGUGCUCAGUGAUUGGUGGUUGGGAACAAUGGUGCUCAGUGAUUGGUGGUUGGGAACAAUGGUGCUCAGUGAUUGGUAGUUGGGAACAAUGGUGCUCAGUGAUUGGUGGUGGGCUUAGUGCUUCACACUUCCAGGGUUGGGGGUCCGAUUCCCGCAACGGCCCUGUGUGUGCGGAAUUUGCAUGUUCUGUGCUUCGGGGGUUUCCUCCCCAGUCCAAAGACAUGCACUGUAGACUGAUUGUCCAAAAGUGUCUGUAGUGUACGAAUGUGUGUGUGAUUGUGUCCUGCGAUGGACCGGCACUCUCCAUGGUGCCCCCCACCUUGUUCCCCAAAAUUGGCAAGUUGGCAGGUCUAGCAGAUCAUCCAUCCAUCCGUCUUCUAUACUGCUUAUCCUACUGGGUCACGGGGAACCUGGGAGCAUGGGGCACAAAGCAGGGUACACCCUGGACAGGGUGCCAAUCCAUCGCAGGGCACAAAUCACACACACAUUCAUAUUCCACCGGAGUACCCGGAGAGAACACGCAAACUCCGCACACACAGGGUAGCAGCAGAAGCAGGAUUCGAACCCCAUGGUGGCAAAUGUGCCACCAUGUGCCCCAGACAGUAGUCAUGAAGCAAAAAUCCAAAUUAUACAAUCUUUGUCAUGCACUGAAAACAACAAUGAGGAGUAUUCUCAUGGACACACCUAGAGACACACACACACACACACAGGAAUGAAGCUGCGGGUGGUGACGGAAAUAGUGAUUCUUUCUGUUUUUCAGCUAGCAUGGACCUGGGAUCCCCCUGUUUCCUGGCCAGCAUCCUGUUACAAGCAUUUGUUCUCCCGAGCUGCCUCAGUGUUUCGGUUCGUUUCCCGAGCCAGCAGACCGUCUACGUGGUGACUGGGCAGAAUUUGGUCCUGCAGGCUGAGAUCGAGUUGUCCCAGGGGGAUCACGUCGCCAAGGUCACAUGGGAGCGUGAAGUCGAGGGAAAAAGGAAUUCUGGGAAAAGCGUGGUGGCUGAAUAUCCUGCUAAAAGCUCAGAAGGCCGGGUGAUCGUCGAGAAGGGCGGGUCUGUGAUGACGUUACGGGACUACCAGGGAACGGACAACGGCGUGUACACGGUCACCGUCCGAGACCAGAAAGGAGGUCAGAGUUCGGCACGCUGCACCGUCCACGAGUACGAGGCCGUGCACCAUGUGUCAGUGAUGGUGAACGUGUCGCACUCCAGCCUGCACUGCAUGGAAGCCUGGGGGACGGAGCCCGUCUUCCGUUGGCUCCACGAGAAAGUCGCGGUGACGGAGGCCGUGGGCCGCGUGUCAGCGGACGGCAGCUCUCUGUACCUGAACACGGCGCUGUGUGGCCACUUCACCUGCAUGGUGAGCAACAAGCUGGGCCACAGCUCGGCUACCUACACGGCAGAACCUUGUGAGAGAGAGAGCAGAGGAACCGCUGUAGCGGUUGUAUGUCUCGUGCUCUUGCUGCUCGUGGCUGGAGGUUUGACCUUCCUGCUCUGGAGGAAACGCACGAGUUACAGUAAUAGACGAGAGAGACUCCGGGAACCAGAUGAGGACAUUUAACCUCCACACUCAAGUCUGUGUGUCAGACUGAAACAUAAAUGGAAGAGACAAGAACUUAAGAUUGUUGCCUCUUCUCCAAGCACUUGGAUCAUUGCAAAACAUUCCAGAUAUGCUACCAGGGUUUUACUGGCUUUCAGUUACAGUCGGACAAGCCAAGGAGCGAAGAUCUCUCUUCCUUUUUUUUUUUUUUUUUUUUUUUUUAAAAAGGACCUUUACGAAGAAAAGAAAGCUGACGGUUUUGCAACUGUUUAAAUCUUCAGAAUAAGGAACAGCUUACUGUUAUUUCAUGUUUUUUUUUGUUUAGCUUGUUAUUAGUUGUGUUCGCAGUUCAUGUUAAGUUCUGUACAUGUACUGCAAUAAAAAAAGAGAAGACUUUUAAGGUAUUUCAAAGUCCAUGUUGUGUGACGAGUGAGUGAUGGAUGUGUUACGGCCCAGUCUAGGUUAGGCCGCACAGAGCAACCGGCUCGGGAUUCAAUGGAAUUUGACCUUUAAAUAAGGGAAGGCAGGAAUAACACAAAAUUAUAUACAUAUAACUGUACAAUGAACCAAAUCAGGCGUAACUUCAGGGUGGGCCAUGGCAAAUAAUGCUAUUGUUAGGUAGCUAGCUUACCGAAAAGGAAAAUAACAACGAAAAUACAAGGACUUCCCAAACUACCUAAGCCAAAAACAGAGACAAAGGACCCGCUCCCAAAAGAAAUGGCCACCACACCCCUACUGCCGGUGAACCAAGUGAACAUGUAUAUAAUGCUGAAUAGAAUGCACGAACAGGGACAGGGACGACCAAACUCGAAGUCCACAAACCAGGUAAAAGUCAAAAAACAGAAUUUGAUAGUCACAAGGGCGAGCAACACAAACCAAACAAUCUCCCAACAACAAAUCACACGUAACCACCUCCAACAUUCUCACUCCUCUUCCUCUUUAUACAUGGUCGUCAAUCAGUGAUGUCAUCCUGGGAGGCGGGAGCAAGGCACGCUAGGGAAGGCUGGAAACUCUGGGAGGGAGUUCAACCUGCAGACAAAAUAUGGCACAGCACACACACACACACAAAAAACAACUUCCCAUACCAAAGAUAGCGGGUUGUAACCAAUGGAUGUAGUGAUGAGGGAUGGAUUGAUGGUGUGAGGGAUGGAUGGAUGUAGUGAUGGAGGAUGGAUUGAUGGUGUGAGGAAUGGAUGGAUGUAGUGAUGAGGGAUGGAUGGAUGUAGUGA